UACGAAGGGGGCUAGCGUUGCUCGGAAUCACUGGGCGUAAAGCGCACGUAGGCGGAUUGUUAAGUCAGGGGUGAAAUCCUGGAGCUCAACUCCAGAACUGCCUUUGAUACUGACGGUCUUGAGUUCGGGAGAGGUGAGUGGAACUGCGAGUGUAGAGGUGAAAUUCGUAGAUAUUCGCAAGAACACCAGUGGCGAAGGCGGCUCACUGGCCCGAUACUGACGCUGACGGUGCGAAAGCGUGGGGAGCAAACAGG
rnacentral:rRNA from 1 species